ACGAAGCUUGAUCAGAAUCAAAACAUAACUUGUCUGAAAUCGGCAAAGAAGAUAAAACACGAAACGAAGGAUAUCCCAGCCAUCGAUGCCAUAGUUCUGAUAUAGAAGCAUUCCUAGACGCAGUCCUAUGAGCACUUGCAGCUUUGACUCCAGUAAAAUAUUAAACCCCCUCACGUUCUUCACCUGUUCCAAUCAGGGUCUUCGUAAAACGGUCCUGC
rnacentral:lncRNA from 1 species